ensembl:lncRNA
AACCAGAGCAGCUGAUGGUGUGAACCCCAAUCCAAGGGCAGGAGGAGCGGCAACGGAUGUCCCCGGUCACCAGCGAAGCAGGAAAAAGAGGCACUCUGCACUUUGGGCUCUAUUCAGGCCCCACUGGGUUAGAGGGGCCCCCACACCAGAGAGGUGUGUGCAGCAGAGGCCGCCACUCAAGAUGCCAGUCUCGCCCGGAAAUGCCCUCACUGACCUGGAGCAGUGUUGCCUGUGGGAGCUGAUGGCCAGGCAAGCUGACAGGCGUGGUAGCCACGACUGGCUCUGUCCCUGCCUCUCCUGCCUCCCGAGUCUCACGUCCUCCCCUGGAAGGUGAUAUCACAGCAGUGACAGGCGACAGUCCCCGCCACAUGCCCCAGAGCGGCCCCUCCAGCCUCUCCCCCCACCGCUGGCCCUGGGCAGCCCGUUCACCCCCGUCAGAUAAGGAAACUGAGGCCCAGACUGCUGAGCGCACAGCAUUUGCGGUCAUUCACCCACACGAUGUCAUGCUGACUUCAAAGCCAGGCUCUGAGCCACUGCACCCGAGCCCAGGAGACCCUGCAGGAUCAGGGAAGGUGCUCCCCUUGGAUGGUGAGACUCCAGCUGACACCUGCCUGCCUCUGAGACCUGAGGGAAAGAGGGAACCUCCCUUCCAUGAUUACCACCAUGGUACUGGGUCAUAUGCCCACUCCCGGACCAAUCACUGAGGACAGAAAUGGGUGGUUCCAACUGCAAAACAUGACUGAUACACUCACAUCUGGAGUCAGAGAUGGAGUUCACACUCCUUAAUUUCAUGGACUGAGUACAGAAGAGUAGGGAUUUCCCAGAGGAAAAUCAGGGUGCUAUUACCAAAGACAUGAUGGACAAUGUAUGAUGGGCUGUGCUCACUGUCCACCAAAUAGCCAUCCAUGUCCCUUUUCCCAGCUCACAGAGCCCCACUUUGUCCCAUAAGAAGCAGAAACCCUGGGACCACAGGAAAGUCAACCCCCUAACACAACCUUAUAAUGAAUCAUAUUUGGUCACAGAAAGUUAGUAAAUCCACCCCCUUUUCCAGAUUUUCACUUUCC